rnacentral:rRNA from 1 species
CCUACGGGUGGCAGCAGUGGGGAAUAUUGCGCAAUGGGCGCAAGCCUGACGCAGCGACGCCGCGUGAGGGAUGAAGGUCUUCGGAUCGGAAACCUCUGUCCGCAGGGGAGUACAGUCCCUGUUCUAAUCAGCAGUGAAUUGACGGUACCUGCAAAGAAAGCACCGGCUAACUACGUGCCCGCAGCCGCGGUAAUACGUAGGUGGCAAGCGUUGUCCGGUUUUAUUUGGUUUAAAGGGAGUGGAGCCGGGUUGACAAUUCAGAUGUGAAAGCAUGCGGCUCAACCGCAGAAUUGCAUUUGAAACUGGUGAUCUUGAGUACUGGAGAGGCAGAUGGAAUUCGUAGUGUAGCGGUGAAAUGCGUAGAUAUUAGGAGGAACACCAGUGGCGAAGGCGGUCUGCUGGACAGCAACUGACGGUGAGGCGCGAAAGCGUGGGGAGCAAACAGGAUUAGAUACCCCGGUAGUC